rnacentral:rRNA from 1 species
GCCUACCAUGGUUUUAACGGGUAACGGGGAAUUAGGGUUCGAUUCCGGAGAGGGAGCCUGAGAAACGGCUACCACAUCCAAGGAAGGCAGCAGGCGCGCAAAUUACCCAAUCCCGACACGGGGAGGUAGUGACAAUAAAUAACAAUACGGGGCUCAUUUGGGUCUCGUAAUUGGAAUGAGUACAAUUUAAAUCUCUUAACGAGGAACAAUUGGAGGGCAAGUCUGGUGCCAGCAGCCGCGGUAAUUCCAGCUCCAAUAGCGUAUAUUAAAGUUGUUGCAGUUAAAAAGCUCGUAGUUGAACUUCGGGGUCUACCCAUUGGUCAGGCUUAAUUGUCUGCACUGGUGAGAUGGAUCUCUACCUUCUGAGGAACUUUCAUGCCAUUUAUUUGGUGUGGUUGGAAAUCAGGACUGUUACUUUGAAAAAAUUAGAGUGUUUAAAGCAGACUAUCGUCUGAAUACAUUAGCAUGGAAUAAUGAAAUAGGACGGACUGAUUCCAUUUCGUUGGUUUCUAGGAUCACCGUAAUGAUUAAUAGGGAUAGUUGGGGGCAUUAGUAUUCAAUUGUCAGAGGUGAAACUCUUGGAUUUAUUGAAGACUAACUACUGCGAAAGCAUUUGCCAAGGAUGUUUUCAUUAAUCAAGAACGAAAGUUAGGGGAUCGAAGACGAUCAGAUACCGUCGUAGUCUUAACCAUAAACUAUGCCGACUAGGGAUCGGAUGAUGUUAAUUUUAUAAUGACUCAUUCGGCACCUUACG